rnacentral:rRNA from 1 species
GCAACUCGCCUACAUGAAGUCGGAAUUGCUAGUAAUCGCGGAUCAGCAUGCCGCGGUGAAUACGUUCCCGGGCCUUGUACACACCGCCCGUCACACCAUGAGAGCCGGUAACACCCGAAGUCAGUGACCCAACCGCAAGGAGGGAGCUGCCGAAGGUGGAGCUGGUAACUGGGGUGAAGUCGUAACAAGGUAUC